rnacentral:lncRNA from 1 species
UAUUUUUGAUCCAUUAUUAAAGACUCAAAAACCAAGCAUAUUUUCAAAUAGUGUUCUGCACAGCCAGUGAUACGUCUGUGCUUGAUGCCAUUAUUCUUCACAAAAUGUGAUGAUAAUGUUAUCUGUUAACAUAAAAACAAAGUUUGACUCCACAGAAGCAGCUGGAAAUGGAUAACCAGAAUAUGCUUAAAUCUGCUAGGAACGCACUGUUUGACAUAUACAGCUAAAAGUUCCUCAUAUUUAGGAAUUCUUUUAAGCAAAAUACUCAAGUCUCAGCUGGUGUGCAUGUAAGAACAUUCACUUCCCAGUGGUAAUGUGGAAU